GCGUAAAGCGCACGUAGGUGGUGGUGCAAGUGAUGCGUGAAAGCUCCUGGCUCAACUGGGAGAGGACGUAUCAAACUGCAUGGCUAGAGGCAGACAGAGGCAUACGGAAUUCCGGGUGGAGUGGUGAAAUGCGUAGAGAUCCGGAGGAACACCAGUGGCGAAGGCGGUAUGCUGGGUCUGACCUGACACUAAGGUGCGAAAGCGUGGGUAGCGAACGGGAUUAGAAACCCCGGUAGUCCACGCCGUAAACGAUGCAAACUAGAUGUUAGUGGCCGAAAGGUCAUGAGUAUCGAAGCUAACGCGCUAAGUUUGCCGCCUGGGGAGUACGGUCGCAAGGCUAAAACUCAAAGGAAUUGACGGGGGGCCGCACAAGCAGCGGAGCGUGUGGUAUAAUUCGAGGCUACGCGAAGACCCUUACCUGGGUUUGACAUGAUCGUAGUAGUGAAGCGAAAGCGGAUCGACCUUCGGGAGCCAUCACAGGUGUUGCAUGGCUGUCGUCAGCUCGUGCCGUGAGGUGUUCGGUUAAGUCCGAAAACGAGCGCAACCCCUAGCGUUAGUUACAAGUGUCUAACGCGACUGCCCGGGGAAACUGGGAGGAAGGUGGGGAUGACGUCAAGUCAGCAUGGCCUUUAUAUCCAGGGCGACACACACGCUACAAUGGCCGGUACAAUAGGCAGCCAAACCGCGAGGUGGAGCGAAUCCGAUAAAGCCGGUCACAGUUCGGAUUGUAGGCUGCAACCCGCCUGCAUGAAGUCGGAGUUGCUAUGUAAACGCGGAUCAGCUACGCCGCGUUGAAUACGUUCCCGGGCCUUGC
rnacentral:rRNA from 1 species